AAUAUUGCGCAAUGGGGGAAACCCUGACGCAGCGACGCCGCGUGAAGGAAGAAGGCCUUCGGGGUGUAAACUUCUUUGAUCGGGGACGAAGGAAGACGGUACCCGAGGAACAAGCCACGGCUAACUACGUGCCAGCAGCCGCGGUAAUACGCAGGUGGCGAGCGUUGUCCGGAAUUACUGGGCGUAAAGGGCGUGUAGGCGGGGGGACAAGUCAGAUGUGAAAUACUGCAGCUUAACUGCGGGGCUGCAUCUGAAACUGUUCUUCUUGAGUGUCGGAGAGGAAAGUGGAAUUCCCAGUGUAGCGGUGAAAUGCGUAGAGAUUGGGAGGAACACCAGUGGCGAAGGCGGCUUUCUGGACGACAACUGACGCUGAGGCGCGAAAGCGUGGGGAGCAAACAGG
rnacentral:rRNA from 1 species